ACGUCGUUCGAUUCGUAUUUUGUUUAUUACCCAAUGGCAGAAGUUAAAAAAAGUGCCUACAAAUAUUGUAUUGUUCCUAUGUGUCAAAGCACAACAGUUAAAAAUCCCAAUAAAAUAUUUUUUCGUGUACCAAAUAAUAUAACAAUAAGGAAAAAGUGGUGCAAAGUAAUGAAGCGUGAUUUAAUUGGCCCUAAAAGCACUAAAUAUGUGUGUGAAGAUCAUUUUGAUGUUGAAAAUGACACCAACAAUUUAGUAAAACAUCGACUGGUUGGGGGAACAUUAAAGUUAAAACCCGAAAUAUAUCCUCAUAAAUUUGACUGUCAAAAGGCGGUGAAACCUCAAAAAGAACGAGGAGCAUAUGAAAAAAGACAUCGGAUUGAAUUUUAUGAAAGUCUUUUAACAAAAGAAGCACCGUCGACUUCAAGUCAAGCUUCUUCUUUUCAAUGUUUUGAAAUUAUUGACUGUGAUGCCAUGGAGUCAGAUGAAACAGAGGAUCUGCUAGCAGAGAACAUUACUUUUCCAGAAUCAGAUAAUCAUCCAAAUAAAAAGAGAAACAAAGGAGUUCAAGUAAACAUCAAAAGUUCACAGAAAAA